GGGUGUCCUGGUGCAGUGCCAGCCCCGUUUGGGGACAGCUGAUGCCUUUUGGCGCCACAUAAAAGCAGAGGCCAGACAAAAUAAAAUGAAUGAAAAGCAAUUCUAUUUAUUGAACAGUCUUGUCAUGGGGUGACUGGACAAUAAGAGGCAAGAUGGAGGACUUAGGGCAUUGUCCCUUUCUCCUUCUUCCUCUUCUUCUUCUAGGGUUUUUGGGUAAUAAUAAGUGAUUGGAUAAAGAAUGCUGCAGUGCAGCACACAGGUGUUGGGUCAUUGGGUCACUAAGAAAAAUAAUUUACUUGGCAUUUUUUAAAUUUUGGAUAAACAGACAUAUAAAAGACCUUGAAGAGAUUCUUCAUUAGCCAUUUUGCACCUUUCUAUCUUAGUGUAUGUAGCUCCUUGUACUCUGUAUAUAUGUAAUAUAAAUAAGAGAAGAAUAAACAACGAAGUCCAAACAAGAAAAAACUGCCUCUCUCUCAUCAGUCUCAGUCCUGGGGAAAAGAACCCAGUCACCAGUGUCACAUCCUGACAGAGACAACCAGGCAGCAGGUCAUGGAGAAUCCUUGCAACCGCUUCUGUGAUUCCAGAGGGAGAAAUGAGCCUUGGUGUGUGUUUGUGAGCUGGGAGGCAGCCUUUUUCUCUCUACCGAUGGCAAAAAUUCCUCCAGGACAAGGAAGGACUGAUGCAAUGUUCAGAUUCUCACAGGAGCUGCCCACGUAGACGUUUUUGGGCUGUGGUUGAGGCUGCUCCACCCUGGGAUGGAAAAGGACCCUAGAGAGCCCCUGGUGUCUGAGACCCUGCCCACAGCCCGGCCUGAGCGUGUUGGGGAAAUGUGCUGCUGCCUUUGGAGAGAGCAGCUCCUGAGGGAGCCAUGCUCCAUAUGGAAUGUUUCAGUGGCAUAUGCCGUUAAUCCUGUGUGCUGAAUUAUUCAGCACUUCAGAAUAAUGAAUCACUGAACAAAGCCUGGCUGUGCAGCUCCACAGGCCUCUGCUGCCUGGUGCAGCGAUCCUGGUGGAUGCUGGGUGGGAG
rnacentral:lncRNA from 1 species